rnacentral:lncRNA from 1 species
UUAGAUUUUGUAUAGAGAAAAUACUGUCUGGUUGAAGACGUUUGACCUUUAUCAUCAACGGAAAGGAGAGAGUUCGUCGAUAAAAGUGACUUUUGAUGAUUUUUCAGCCAAGGUAAUGGAUCACUAUGUUGCUUAUACAGUAAGUAAAGAAAAUAGGACAAGUGAAUUUGUGAUUUUUACGGUGGAGGUAAAAGGUAUUUACCAAUCUCGAGAUAUGAAAGUUUCUUGUAGGGAUGUGAAGCUCAAGUUUUCAACCAUUAAACAAGAGAGAAGAUUGCUACAAAAAUGUUCCACUCAUUUGUUUUGAUUAUUACUUAAAUUUUAUUGUAUCAUCCUUAUUGUUGAAUCUAUCCUUUAUGUAAGGACGAAAAGUUCCAUACUGAUUUAGUGAUAGUGACUUAUUGUGCUUUAGUUAUUACUUUAGUUGGUUAUGAUUGUUGUUCCUCUUUUGGUAUGCUGUGUUAUGUUUUCUUUGUUAUUUUUCUUGGGUCAUUCUUUUUAUUUUUGUUUUUGGAGGAGACAAAGUACCUGAAGUGAGACAUGUAAUAUAAGGAAACUUAGCUUAAGCAAAAUUUAAUAUCAGUUACAAAUAGUAUCAAUCUAUUAUUACAAUUCGUCUCGUUUAGCCCUUAUCUUAAAAAGUGGUUCCAUCGAUCACAACUUGAAGAUAAGAGAUAGAACAAAUCAUGCUGUUGGCAGUUUGAUUUAAUAAUUAAAUAAAUUAUUAUAAAGAAUAAAACAAACCAAUGAAACAUGAUUUUGCAAACUGUUGCUAGAAAAAUACAAAUACAUAUGAUUUUUUUACUGCUCUUAUGAUCGAUAUGUAUUUUGUAUUUUUGUAAAUUGUUGCUACAAAAAUAUAAAUACAUAAAAAUACAUAUGCUACAAAAUGUAAUUUGAUAAAAGUGUUGCUAUUUUUUGUAAUUUAAUAUUUAAGUAUGCUACUUUAUAUAUUUUUUCCUAUUACAAUUGAUGCUUCAAAAAAAUUCAAAUUGCACCAAACUCAAGGACACUGAUUAGCUAUACUUUAGAUGACUGACAUAUUGAUCAGCGAUAGAGUUAGAAUUUUUACUAAGUGACUUUUAAAUAUAAAAAGUAAACAUACAAAAAGGUCUACGGGGAGGUUCACCAUCUAUUGUAUACUAAAAAUAAUUUUAACCAUUUAUAACAAUGUACUUUAUUGUCAAAGGAUUUUGAAUAAAUCACCUGAAUCCAUGAUAGCUCGGCCCUGUGGUUGAUAAUAUAACUGGUGGAUUGGAGCUUUUAUAAGUAAUUACUUAGUCCUAACGCUAAUGAGAAAAACACCAUUAGAAGGAAGUAGGGAAUUCAUCGACUAGCCAUGGUGUUGCAAAUAUUUUUGUACUGAUAAUAAUGAAGAAGUUUAUUUUCCCUUUAAGUUGUAUAACAUUUCUACGAUGCAAUAUAGUUUUUAUGCUGAAAAAGGGUACAGUGUUGAACCAAAACGAUUCAAAUAUUCAUUCACUUAAUUUUUUUUAUUUUUUAUUUUUUAUAUAUUUAGUACUCCUUUCUACUUAUAGGUUGUUGGGAAGACUCGUACGGUUUGAUAAUAUCACACCACACUAAAAGUAUUUUUAGGUUGUUUUCAGGCGAACAAGUGUUGGUUAGUGUUAGGAUCUAUGGAAUUUUGAUGAUAGACAAAUAAAUAAAACAUGUUGAGAAAGCUGGUACAUCAAAGUGAACAAAAGUUCAGCUGCAGACAAGUUAUGGAUAAGCUAACUUUGCGUACAAGACAAGAAUGGAUAACAGUUGGCACAUCAGAAGUAAAGUUAAACAAGAAGUCCUGCAAAAGAGUCCUAAUCAAGAAGAAGAGAAACAAGAAGUCUUGCAGAAUUCAAGAUGAUCAAGGAGUCUAGCAAUAAGAGAAGAUAAAGCAAAAGAGUCCUAUUAAAUCUGAAAGAGUAAAGAGGCGGCAACAACUUGAAGAGGAGGUACUUGAUAAAGUCCUACACAAGAUAGAAGAAUAGAGAAAAAAGGACUGCAUCAGAAGGAGUGCUAAUAUACGACAAGAUGCAUUCAAUUAAGUACUCAAGCACUGAAAAGAUAAUCAACAAUCAGCAUAUCAGUUCACAUACUUGAAGAAGAACCUAGUCUCUUACUUAGCAAGUCGUCGACUUUAUGUGUAGUAGAUAGGUUCUUUGAAUUGUAAUGAGUCAUUGUUCUAAUCUCAGUGAUCUAUAAACUGAGUUAGGAGUUGUGUCUUCAAGUUAGAGAACUCUAAGACUUGGGAACACUAAUCUUGGGAAGAUUUAUGUUUUUGUAGUGAUAGGAGUUAGAAGUUUUAAUUCCUAGUUUACAAGAAGUCUUAUAAUUUUGUUGAUUGUUGAGGCUCAAGUGUUUUAGUGAAGUUGGGGUUAAAUCCUGUAGAGGUACAAGUCGUGGUUUUUUACACCUUUCUUGAGCCGGGUGUUUUACUUCUGUGAACCACGUUUGCUUACCUGUUCCAUAGAUAGGCAAUUAGUAGGGCUCGUACUCUAACAAGUGGUAUCAGAGAGGGUUGUCUUAAAUAAGGCUAGCGCCUAAGAAAAGGAUCAACAUGAUGAAUUCCGCAUCUCCUUCUGGUCACACAGUGAAGGUCAGUCAAUUACAAGACCUCCACUUUUUGAUGUUUCUCACUUUAUCUGGUAGAAAGCAAGGAUGAAAAUGUUCAUCCAAGGUGAAGAUUAUGAAUUAUGGGACAGGAUUACUGAUGGUCCUACUAUUUCAAUAAAGAUGGCUGAUGGUGAACAAGUCAAGAAAAUAAGGAGUGAAUUUACUCCUGAUGACUUGUUGGCUUUGAAGAAAAAUUCAAAGGCCAAGAACAUCUUGGUUUGCGGACUAGGACCUGUUGAAUACAACAGGGUAUCCACCAGCACUACUACUAAGCAAAUUUGGGAUGCACUAGUGAAUGCCCAUGAAGGUACUUCUCAAGUAAGAAAGUUCAGGAUCUCUCUUCUUUUCACUGAGUAUGAGACAUUUAAAAUGAAGAAAAACAAAACCUUGCAUGAGAUGAUGACAAGGCUUACCACCUUAACAAAUGAACUGACUUCCUUGGGAAAGGUCAUCUCUGAGGAAGAACAAGUUGAAAAGGUACUAAGGAUAUUACCUAAAUCAAAAUAGAAUGUUAAGGUGACUGCAAUCAGGGAGGCAAAUAAGGAUCUUGAAGGCAUGGCACUAGAUGAACUAGUAGGGAACUUAAGAAAUUAUGAAAUGGAAAUUGAUGGAACCAAAGAACAAGUUGCUCCUGAGAAAAUUCUAACAUUAAAAUCUUCUGAUAGUGAUGAGGAAUUUGAACUUGAUAAGGAGCAAGUUGCCUUUAUAACUAAAAAUUUCAGCAAAUUCUUUAAGAAGAAGAAGGGAACAGGUACUAAGAAACGUUCCACUGACAAUCCAAAUAGUUGCUACAAAUAUGGAAAAACUGAUCAUCAGAUCAAAGAUUGUCCAGUCUGGGAAAUAGAAUGGAAGAAGGAAAGGGAUGAAAAAGAACUGAAGGCUAAAGGAAGGAGGAGCAUGCAAUGAUAGCUGCUUGGGAUCUGAUUUAGAUGAAGAUGAAGUAGAUAAAAAUGCAUUCAUGGAUUUUGGAGAUUCAGACUUAGAUGAAGAAGAUGAAAGUUCUGAGGUAAGUAUACUUGAACUCAAAGAAAAAUUGUAAUUGUUUUCAAAACCAAAACUUGUUUCCUUGAUGAGUGCAUUGAUUGAUGAUUUCCAAGAGUUAUCCUCUGAUAGGGAUGAAUUGUUCAACAGUCUUGCAAGUCUAAAAUUUGAUCUCAUUGAUAUAAAGGCUUGUUCAGGUACAGUUGACAAGGAAAAUAGCACUCUCAAGAAACAGGUUAUAGAACUUAUGAUUUCAAACAAUAAUCUUAAGUCUGAAGUCCUCAAACUAACUCUCACUGGAACUGGGAAAAAGACCACGAGUAAAGAAAAAGAAAAUGCUGAACUUGAGUUAGUUAAAUACAAGAAAGAAUGUCAAGAUUUAAUUGGAAAAAUCAAUAAGAUGAAUCAUGAAGUUUAUAAACUAAAACUUGAUUUUGAAAGGGAAAAUAGGCGGACAAACUCCUCAAGAAUUGUUCACAAAUUGAGUAUGAGAAAUGUCAAUGAAAAGGCAAGUUUGGAAUUUCACAAAAGUUUUGAUAAUCCUAUAGAUUUAUGUUAUAUUUGUGGCAAUCUUGGACAUUCCACCACUGAACGUCCAGUGGCUUAAAAAAGAAGAUCAAACAGACAAAACCUGGCCAACAGAUCUUCUUAGAUCAAAAAGAACAAAAUCAGUUCUGGUUAGAGAAAUAGGUUGAAUUACAUAUUGCCUGUAUGGACUAGAAGAAACUUAAUUCAUCCUUUCACUCAUAAAAUAGGACCCAAGUUUGUCCGGGUUCCUAAAUCUAACCAUUGAUUUCUUUUGCAGGAGAAAGUGAAAGGAAGUAAAAGGCACUGGUACUUGGACAGUGCUUGAUCAAGACACAUGACCCGUGAUAAGAAAAAGUUCCUUUCACUCUCCAAAAUAGAUGGAGGAGAAGUGUCUUUUGGUGAUAGAAAAAAGGGAAUUAUUAUUGGAGUUGGAAAAAUUGGCUCAUCUGAGUCAAAAGCAUUGGAAGAUGUCUAUUUUGUAGAAGAAUUGAAACAUAACCUGCUGAGCAUCUCACAACUGUUUGACAAAGGUAAUAAAGUUAUUUUUACUGCUGCAGAAGUCAAAGUUAAAAGGAUGGACACCAAAGAAAUUGUGCUCACAGCAAGGAGAUACAGAAAUGUAUACAAAGCAGACAUCUUGGCAGUACCUGGACCUAAGUUAACUUGUAUGAGUGCAAUUAAAAAUGAUCCCCUCCUUUGGCAUAGAAAACUUGGUCAUGCAAGUUUGAAACAACUAAACAUGCUUUCCUCCAGAGACAUAGUAUUGGGAUUACCCAAGACCAAGUUUAAGGAAGAAAAGUUAUGUAGUGCUUGUGUAAGGGGGAAGUAGGUAAGGUCUUCCUUCAAGUCAAAGAACCAUGUUAGCACAUCCAAGUGACUUAACCUGGUUCAUGUGGACUUAUGUGGACCCAUGGGACUUCAAAGCAGAGGUUGAAAGAUGUAUGUUUUUGUAAUUGUUGAUGAUUAUUCCAGGUUCACCUGGACGCUAUUUCUAGCCUUUAAAAAAGAUGCCUUUGAUGUCUUUAAAAUCUUCUUUAAGAAAAUUAAAAAAAAACUACGUACUUCCUUAGUCUCCAUAAGGUCUGACCAUGGUACAAAAUUUGAGAAUGUAUAACUCUUAGAAUUUUGUUCAGUAAAUGGUAUAGAUCAUAACUUCUCAGCUCCUAGAACACCAUAACAAAAUGGAGUGGUGGAAAGGAAAAAUAGAAUCUUGGAGGAUAUGGCUAGAACAAUGAUGCUUACAGCAAAUAUUGCCAAAAACCUUUGGGCUGAGGCAAUAAGUACUGCAACAUACAUGAUAAAUAGAUGCAUGAUCAUACCUAUAUUAGAGAAGACUCCAUAUGAAUUACUAAAACGAAGAAAGCCUAACAUCUUUCACUUCAGAAUCUUUGGAUAAUUUGGGAAAAUUUGAUGUUAAAAGUGAUGAGGGAUUCUUCUUAGGCUAUUCACUUCACAGUAAAGCCUAUAGGGUGUUAAAAAAUAGAACUAAUUAUGUUGAAGAAAGUUUGCAUGUGAUCUUUAAUGAAUCUUGUGUUAAGACUAACCUACAGGAAGGAAAUGAUGUUGAGGAACAGGUUACACAACCCGAUCCAUUGACUAGUGAUACAAAACUUGGAAGCACCUCAACAGGGGGAACUGAAGUUGAAGGCACAAUGACAGGGGGAACUGAGCCACCGACUACCCCAGAUCAGAAUGUCAUCAGUAAUCCUAGUAGCUCACUUGACUUGAUUCCAAAGGGAUACAAGUAUCAAGGAUCACAUCCUAUAGAGAAUGUUCUCAUUGAGAUCACCUCUGGGAUCACUACAAGAUCUGGAUUGAGAAGUUUGUGUGCCUUCAAGGAAUUUCUGUCAGAAAUAGAGCCAAAGAAGAUAACUGAAGCAUUGAUUGAUGCUGAUUGGAUCAUAGCCAUGUAGGAAGAACUGAAUCAGUUUGAAAAAAGCAAAGUAUGACACUUAGUUCCUAUCCCAAAAGAUAGAUCGGUAAUUAGAACUAGGUGUGUGUACAGGAAUAAGGUUGAUGAACAUGGAACAUUCAUCAGAAACAAGACAAGGUUGGUGGUCCAAGGAUAUAACCAAGAGGAAGGAAUUGACUUUGAUAAGACUUUUUCUCCUGUAGAAAAACUUGAAGCUAUAAGAUUACUUAUUGCAUUUACUGCCUACAAGGGUUUUACUCUCUACCAGAUGGAUGUAAAAAGUGCAUUUUUGAAUAACAUUCUCAAAGAAGAGGUGUAUGUGAAGCAACCUCCAGGAUUUAAAAGCAAAGAGUUUCCUGGUUAUGUGUUUAAAUUGGAUAAAGCUCUGUAUGGGUUGAAGCAAGAACCUAGAGCCUAGUAUGAGAGGUUGUCAAAGUUUCUACUGGAGAAUGGCCAUUCCAGAGGUAAAAUUGACAAUACCCUUUUCUUAAAAACUAAUGGAAAGGAUUUGUUAGUUGUGCAGGAAUAUGUUGAUGACAUUAUCUUUAGAUCAACCAAUAUGAAUAUGACUCAUGAGUUUGCCAAACUCAUAAGUUGUGAAUUUGAGACGAGUAUGAUGGGAGAGCUGAAUUAUUUCUUGGGACUACAAAUAAAACAGUCAGCUUCAGGGACAAUGAUACACCAAUAGAAAUAUGUCUAAGAGCUUCUCAAAAGAUUCUCCAUAGAAGAGGCAAAAGAGAUUAGCACUCCUAUUUUCACUAUCACAAAGCUUGAUCUAGAUGAAACAGGUCCUGAUGUGGAGCAAAAGAUGUAUAGAGAAAUGAUAGGGUCACUACUGUAUCUCAAAGAAAGCAGGCCUAACAUUGUGUUUAGUGUAAGGCUAUGUGAUAGGUUUUAAGCAAAGCCAAAAUAAUCACAUCUAAAAUCAGUAAAAAGAAUCUUCAGAUACUUGAAGGGAACAAGUGAUCUUGGCUUGUGGUAUCCAAAAAAGUAGUAACUUUAAUUUGGUAGGAUACUCUGAUGCUGACUAUGCAGGAUACUUGGUGGACAGAAAAAGUACCACAGGAAUAGAUCACUUCCUUGGAUCAUGUUUGAUUUCCUGGUCCACAAAGAAGCAAAAUUCAGUAGCCUUGUCUAUUGAAGCUGAAUAUGUAGCUGCAGGUUCCUGUUGUGCCCAAUUGCUAUGGAUUAAGCAACAAAUCAUGGACUUUGGUAUAGAUGUUGUUUGUGUUCCUAUUUUUUGUGAUAAUAUAAGUUCCAUUAACAUAGCUAAAAAUCCUGUUCAACAUAAAAAAACCAAGCAUAUUGAUAGUAGACAUCACUUUCUUAGAGAUAAUGUCAAAAAAGGUCAUUUAUCAAUUAUGUUUUUCUCUACUGAAGAACAAAUUGCUGACAUUUUCACUAAGGCUUUAAGUAGAGAACACUUUGAAAAAAAUAGGUUAGCCUUGGGGAUGAUUAGAAUUGCAUAAGUCUCCCUCAAUUCUUGAUUAGAAUAAGUUGUUCUCAAAAAGUGAUUGUUGGUUAAUUCAGUCUUACAUAUUAAGUUGUGUAUCCUAAGUUCAAGAUUUUAGAGCAUGAUGACUCAUGUAUGUGUUGAUUUUUGCGGAGAGCCAUGAUUAUAGAAGCAACCUUGUCUAAAUUUUCAUUCAGGUAUGAUUACUAUUACUUACAAGUAGCUAAAAGAGAAACAAGUUACUUACCUAGUUCCCUUAUGGUCCUUUAAACCGCCAAAAAUCAGAGAGUCCCUUUCCUUUCAAAAAGCUGCUACCCACUUUGCCAUCAGUUUAGAACCACUCAUCAUUAUGCCUCUGCCAAGUAUAGUCCCCCACCUCUUUAAAUUCUACUUGGUUCUCCCUUAAAUAUGUCUCUUGGUUCUAUUGUAUCUUCACACUCAAGAAAAAUCUUUUGGCCCAAAUAUGGAUUCCUCUUCAUCUUCUUCAUCUUCCUCAUCCACUGACUAUGUCAAAAACUCCCUCACCGUCAUUAUUCUUCAUCCAUACAUUACUUUACCUCCCAUCAUUCCUUCUCAAAUUUCCUAAAGAUUUUCUGAUUUUGCAGUCUUCAGAAACAUCCCAAACCUUUUUACUCAAACACCUUUACCUCCGUCAUCCUUAUCGAAGCCUAUUCUUCCUCCUCCUGUCCCACUCCAAAUUGUUAAAGAUGAAAAUAAUUCUAGUGAUCAAGAUGAACUUCCUAUUGCAGACUUAAUCCCCAGAAGGUCCAGGUCCAAACUACCAAAAAAAACAUUUUUCAUCACUGUUGAAGACAUUACCCCUAUAACUCCCCCCAAAUGUCUCCAUCCCCCGUACUCUUCACACUCAAGGAAGAAAACAACGAGAAGAUGUAUCCUUUGCUGAGGCUCUUUGUCUAGCAAAAACAAUGCAUAUCUAUAUCUGAUUCCACCUUUUCUCAUUCUUCUUCACCAGAUCUUCUUCUUCGAUCAGUCAAAAAGAAAAAUACAUCAUGGCCAAAGUUCCAAAACCCCCUUUUACCAAGAAACCCUCUUCUAAAUCUACUCAAAAGUUCUCCUCCUCUUCAAAAUCUCCUUCUACUGUCAAAGUUCCCACCGCCUCAAAUGUUUCCCCUCCAAAUUCUUUUACUUACACAAAGAAAUAAGUUAGCAAACCUAUUUCCUCUGACUCCUGUGACUCUGACUUCCAUCUAGAUCCUACUGUGUUAGAAGCUGAUUUUGAGCCUCCUGUUCCAUGCUCUCAUCAAGACACUCCUGAGUCUCAUCAUCUUCAUUUUCAAAAGUUAAAAUUAGCCAGAGUGAGAGUUAGUGGCUUUGGGGGUAAGGCUAUGUAGACUUUACUGGAAAAAUUAGAGUUUCAGGGAUGGUCUUAUCUUUUUCUUCAGGGAGAUCUUCAGAGGCGUUUUGGAAAGCCUGAAAUGUAUGAGUUUUAUACAAAUAGGGUGGGUAUUGGUUACAUGUUCUCUACUACUAUUAUAAAGACUACAAUAAAUCUGUAUGUUGCUACCAUUGCUAAAAUCUUGUAUAUUCCUUCUGGAGGGUGGGGUCAUUAUGUUAAAGGCACUUGGCCACCUCUGGACAAUCUUACCUCUGCUCUUGACAUAUGUAGAAAGUUCUCAGGCAAUCCUUACUUGCUCCAUCAUACAAGGAUUAUUAAGAGAGAGACAUCCUUACUUUAUCAUCUCUACUUUGAUGUAGUCCACAAGAUGAUUAUCCCUAGGAAGGAGAGAAGAUGUAUGGCUAGUUUUCUUGAUAUUACACUUAUGGAAAUUUUGGACACUGAGGUGCGAAUUGACUUGCCUCUACUUAUACUAAAGCAUAUGCAAAGGGUUCUUCUCAAGGAAAUUAAUGGUCAUGCCCUUCCCUAUGAAUUUUGGCUCACCCUUAUUUUUGAUGAAUUUGGUGUGUGUGUGUAUACGUGUGAUUUUCACAGACCAUCAAGGAUAUCAUAGGUACUUUGGACCAUAUUUUGCUACCUGUUUCGAUGAGGAGUGAUGAUAAUCGAAUGCAAUGAUUGUGAAAUGGACUAGCUGCAAAACAGAGUGAAAUGGAUGUUGCUCAAGCUGCUCAUGAAGAUGAAAAAGGGGUUCUUUAAGAUCAGAUUGCAUCUCUCACUACCCUGUUGGAAAAAAGAGCGGGCUGAAAAUGCUGAUGUCAUUAGAAAACUCACUUCCUUGAUCCUCCCAUCUUCAUCCAUCUAGCCUCUUUACUUGUCUCCUAGACUGUCUCCUUUUGUUAUCUUCCCUGGUGUCUUGUUCUCUUUUAGGUUGCUUCUGGUAAAUGUAGUCGUAUUUUGGUAGUGACUGAAAUAGACUUAGUUGCUUUAAAUUUAUUCUGCCUCUGUUUUAUCAUACUACAUUCAUGAUCUCAUAUUCUGAAUAUUGUUUUUCUUAGUGAUUGGCUAAAUGGCCAUGGAUUAUUAAGCAUUUUCACUUGCUGGGAUAACUUUUCGAUGAUGUCAAAAGGGGGAAGAGUAGGCUAUGCAAUGCUUAUAACUCAACUAGAUAACUUGUUUUAUUACAUUCUGUGUUUUUUUUAUUUAAAAUCCCUUAUUGAUUAUGUUAGAUUUUUGUGAUGUUGUGCUGAUAUGUUUGUCAUUAUCAAAAAGGGGGAAUUUGUUAGGAUCUGUGGAGUUUUGAUGAUAGACAAAUAAAUAAAAUAUGUUGAGAAAACUGGUACAUCAAAGUGAACAAAAGUUUAGCUGCAGACAAGUUAUGGAUAAGCUAACUUUGCGUACAAGACAAGAAUGGAUAACAGUUGGCACAUCAGAAGUAAAGUUAAACAAGAAGUCCUGCAAAAAAGUCCUAAUCAAGAAGAAGAGAAACAAGAAGUCUUGUAGAAUUUAAGAUGAUCAAGAAGAAGAGAAACAAGAAAUCUUGUAGAAUUUAAGAUGAUCAAGGAGUCUAGCAAUAAGAGAAGAUAAAGCAAAAAAGUUCAUUAAAUCUGAAAGAGUAAAGAGGCGACAACAACUAGAAGAGGAGGUACUUGAUAGAGUGCUACACUAGACAGAAGAAUAGAGAAAAAAGGACUGCAUCAGAAGGAGUGCUAAUAUAUGCCAAGAUGCAUUCAAUUAAGUACUCAAGCACUGAAAAGAUAAUCAACAAUCAACAUAUCAGUUCACAUACUUGAAGAAGAACCUAAUCUCUUACUUAGCAAGUCGUAGACUUUGUGUGUAGUAGAUAGGUUCUUUGAAUUGUAAUGAGUCAUUGUUCUAAUCUCAGUGAUCUAUAAAUUGAGUUAUGAGUUGUGUCUUCAAGUUAGGGAACUCGAAGACUUGGGAACACUAAUCUUGGAAAGAUUUGUGUUUUUGUAGUGAUAGGAGUUAGAAGUUUUAAUUCCUAGUUUACAAGAAGUCUUGUAAUUUUGUUGAUUGUUGAGGCUCAAGUGUUUUAGUGAAGUUUGGGUUAAAUCCUGUAGCUGUACAGGUCGUGGUUUUUUAUACCUUUCUUGAGCCGAGUAUUUUUCACGUAAAAACACUGUGUUCAAUUUUUACUUCUGUGAACCACGUUUACUUACCUGUUCCAUAGAUAGGCAAUUAGUAGGGCUCAUACUCUAACAGUUAGUCAUGUUCAUUCACAACAAUUAUUUUAUCUCUUUUAAUUCAUUAAAUUAUACUAUACUAAAUUAUUUAAAAAUUAUGUUACUAAGAGUAGAUAUCCGACCUUAUAUAUAUAUAUGUGUGUGCGCACGCGCAUGCUUAUAGCAAAAUAUAUGUAAAAUCAAAAUAUAUAUUAUGUUUAUAUUAUUAUAUUAGAGUGUGAAAGGAUCUUUGAGAAGUGAUUUGUGCUUUUUGAAUUUCAUUAAAAACAUUCGCAAUAGACAAAAUCGUCUAAUUUUAAACAAUUAAAAGUUACACGUGCGAGGCACAUGUGAUUAAACUAGUAUUAAUAAAUUUGUACAGAUUGUACAUAAAAUGACAAUUAGCGUAAAAAAAUAUUGUACGUGUAAUUCACAUGCUUUGUCUUUAAAAACUGACAAAUAAAACUGUUACAUGUGGCAUAUGGGCACAAAUUAAGUCUAAAAUUAUAAACUUUUGUAUCCUUUUAAAUAUGGGAUAUUACAAAGCGUCGUAACGCUUGAUCUCAGAAACCAAUUAUCAAGAAACAAUGGAUUGGGAGGUGAGAUUAAUCCAUCUUUAGCUAAGUUGAAAAAGUUGAGAUACUAUGAACUAUUUUGAAGGAGUCAAAGUACCUGAAGUGAAACAUGUAAUAUAAGGAAACUUAUUGUUACCAUGCUUAAGGAAACUAUUUAAGGUAGGCUUGGAAUGCAAGCAUGCAUUAUAAGGAAACUUUUUUUUUUAAUAUAUAUUUUCACAAGUAUUUGUUAUAUUAGUUUUAUUAUAUCACUUUUAAUUAGUUGUUAUAAGUUUAUAUAUAUCACAUAAGUUAAAGACAAGAAAACAAUAUAUAUUGGGCCCGUGACCUUCGAUGUCUAUAAAUACACAAAACUCAUCAACUUUCCUUCAACUUCUCUAAUUGUUUUGGGGUUUUGUUAUUGUUAUUAGCUCUCUGAGUUAUGUCUUUGGAGGAAGAGAGAACCAAUCCCUAUAUUGUUAAUCGUGAGAAUCGUUACAGGUGUGGUUUAAUAGGAAGUCUUGUAAUUUUUUUCCUUAUUGUAGGGCUUCUUCUUUUUCUUGUUAUUAGUGGUUUUAUUAGUUUUAUGUCUUCUAAGAAUUAUUAUCCCAAAUUCUCUAUUGAAGCAAUCACAUCUUCCAAUAUUAGUAUUUUAACAUGGCCUAAUUCAUCUUUAUAUGCUCAAAACUUGACUAUCGAUUUUGUGGUAAAAAAUCGUCCACAUCAUGAAGUUGAAUAUGAAAACACGAAGGCUUCGAUUUAGUACAGAGGAAAUACUGUCUGGUUGAAGAUGUUUGACCUUUAUCAUCAACGAAAAAGAGAGAGUUCGUCGAUAAAAGUGACUUUUGUUGAUUUUUCAGCCAAGGUAAUGGAUCCCUAUGUUGCUUAUACAAUAAGUAAAGUAAAUAGGACAAGUGGAUUUGUGGUUUUUACGGUAGAGCUAAAAGGUAUUUACCAAUCUCGAGAUAUGAAAGUUUCUUGUAGGGAUGUGAAGCUCAAGUUUUCAACAAUUAAACAAGAGACAAGAUUGCUACAAAAAUGUUCCAC